rnacentral:tRNA from 1 species
GGGCGAUUAGCUCAGUGGGAGAGCACCUGCCUUACAAGCAGGGGGUCACUGGUUCGAGCCCGGUAUCGCCCACCA